GGAGUUAGCCGGUGCUUCUUCUGUGAGUGAUGUCCUUCCUGCCGGUUAUUGACCCGCAGGCCUUCUUCCUCACUGAAAGUGCUUUACAACCCGAAGGCCUUCUUCACACACGCGGCAUGGCUGGAUCAGGGUUGCCCCCAUUGUCCAAUAUUCCCCACUGCUGCCUCCCGUAGGAGUCUGGGCCGUGUCUCAGUCCCAGUGUGGCUGAUCAUCCUCUCAGACCAGCUACGGAUCGUCGCCUUGGUGAGCCGUUACCUCACCAACCAGCUAAUCCGACAUAGGCUCAUCCGAUAGCGCGAGGCCCGAAGGUCCCCCGCUUUCCCCCGUAGGGCGUAUGCGGUAUUAGCCUGGGUUUCCCCAGGUUAUCCCCCACUACCGGGCAGAUUCCUAUGCAUUACUCACCCGUCCGCCGCUCGCCACCAGGGAGCAAGCUCCCCGUGCUGCCGCUCGACUUGCAUGUGUUAGGCCUGCCGCCAGCGUUCAAUCUGAGCCAGANACAACUACUCGACGUAGAGCGGCGGUCGCGACGACGGCGACUAG
rnacentral:rRNA from 1 species